rnacentral:misc_RNA from 1 species
GUGAAUCAUCAAAUUUUUGAACGCAAAUUGCACUUUUUGGUAUUCCGGAAAGUAUGUCUGUUUGAGGGUUAGUUAAAUAAAAAUAGGUGUUGUUGUUGCCUUUCGUGGUGACGCGUCGGAAUUGGGUCGUUUUAUCUUCGGUUAAGUGACUUAAAAUUUUUGCAUGAUUUUCGAACGUAUUUAAAUCGUUUACGUAUGUUUGAGAUAUCGACUGAUUAUUAGGUUCGGUCAUUCCCAUGCUUCGCGUCUAUACUUUUUCA